AACCGUUUGGAGCCAGACCGGCUGCUCUAUAAUCAAUCUCUGCUUCGGUAGGGAUGCACUUGUAGGGCUUUAGCCUGCCAACAGCAAUUUUCUUUGGUGGAAAAAACUAGAAGGAAUGUGGCCCCUCGGGGUGUUAUAGCCUUUUAGAAAAUACACUGAAGGGGAUUGAGGACUGCAGCAAAUGCUUUUGGCGAAAUAACUAGGUGCUUGUGUUAAGGACGUAUAGAAUCUCUGCUUCGGGUGGUGCUAUGCUCUGCGAUGCAACUCGCUUAGACUAUUUUCUAUUUGCUUAGGUUGUUGGCUUAAUGACUCUAAAUGA
rnacentral:rRNA from 1 species